rnacentral:rRNA from 1 species
UACGUAGGGGGCAAGCGUUAUCCGGAUUUACUGGGUGUAAAGGGAGCGUAGACGGCGAUGCAAGCCAGAUGUGAAAGCCCGGGGCUCAACCCCGGGACUGCAUUUGGAACUGUAUAGCUAGAGUGUCGAAGAGGCAGGCGGAAUUCCUAGUGUAGCGGUGAAAUGCGUAGAUAUUAGGAGGAACACCAGUGGCGAAGGCGGCCUGCUGGACGAUGACUGACGUUGAGGCUCGAAAGCGUGGGGAGCAAACAGG